rnacentral:misc_RNA from 1 species
GAUGAAGAACGUAGCGAAAUGCGAUAAGUAAUGUGAAUUGCAGAAUUCAGUGAAUCAUCGAAUCUUUGAACGCACAUUGCGCCCGCCAGUAUUCUGGCGGGCAUGCCUGUUCGAGCGUCAUUACAACCCUCAGGCCCCCGGGCCUGGCGUUGGGGAUCGGCGGAGCCCCCCGUGGGCACACGCCGUCCCCCAAAUACAGUGGCGGUCCCGCCGCAGCUUCCAUCGCGUAGUAGCUAACACCUCGCGACUGGAGAGCGGCGCGGCCACGCCGUAAAACACCCAACUUCUGAAUGUUGACCUCGGAUCAGGUAGGAAUACCCGCUGAACUUAAGCAUAUAAUAAGCGGAGGA